GACAAACAGUCCGAGUUAAGUUUAAUUGGUAUAAAAGGAAGUGAAAUUAUGUUAUUUUAGAAGAUAAAGUUUUUAUUAAGAGGUGGAAUUUGUAAAUAAAAAGUUAUAUCUGCAGCUUCUUUUUUUUGAGGCUUCGAAAACUAGGGAAGAGACCGGGAUUAGAUACCCCGUUAUUUUUUUUGUAAAUUUUGAUAGUUGAUAAUUUACCUGAGUAUUACGGGUUAAGUGGGUCAGGUAACAGGAUAACGGUUGCUGAUGAUUGCUUAGGUACUUAAAACUCAAAAAACUUGGCGGUGCCUUAUUUCCUUCCAGGGGAACCUGUCCUGUAAUCGAUGAUCCACGAUUAAUCUUACUUUCUCUUGAAUGAGUUAUAAACAUCAGCUUGUAUACCGUCGUCGUCAGAUUACCUUUAAGAGAGCGGAAGUUGUCAGGCAAAUUAGAAAACUAGUGUGUUAAGCAGACUAGCUUCAAGUUUUGAUGUCAGAUCAAGGUGCAGCUUAUGGGGAAGUAGAGAUGGGUUACAAUACAGAUUUUGUAUUAUGGAUACUAGUUUGUAAUAACUAAAUGAAAGCGGACUUGGAAGUAAUGUAAUCGGGUCGGUGUUAGAAUACUUACAUGAAUGUAGGUACUAAGGCGCGU
rnacentral:rRNA from 1 species